GAUGAACGCUGGCGGCGUGCCUAAUACAUGCAAGUCGAGCGAACGGACGAGAAUCUUGCUUCUCUGAUGUUAGCGGCGGACGGGUGAGUAACACGUGUAUAACCUACCUAUAAGACUGGGAUAACCUCGGGAAACCGGAGCUUAUACCGUAGAAUAUUUUGAACCGCAUGGUUGAAAGGUGAAAGACGGUCUUUCGGGCACUUAUAGAUGGAUCCGCGCUGCUUUAGCUAGUUGGUAAGGUAACGGCCUACCAAGGCAACUAGGCAUAGCCGACCUGAGAGGGUGGUAGGCGACACUGGAAGGGGGACACGGUCAUGACUCCUGCGGGAGGCAGCAGUCGGGAAUGUUCCGCAGUAGGGGAAAACAUGACACAAUGACGCGGAGUGGGUGGUGAAAGUGUUGGGAUCGUAAAACCGUCUUAUUAGGGAAGAACAUAUGUGUAAGUAAAUGAGGAGAUAUUGACGGUAACUAGUAAGAAAGCAACGGCUAACUACGUG
rnacentral:rRNA from 1 species